AUAUUAAAGUUGUUGCAGUUAAAAAGCUCGUAGUUGAAUUUCGGGAUCAAAUUGUCGGUCGUGCCUUGGUACGCACUGGCAUUAUUGGUUCCUAUCUUCUGAAAAACCGCGAUCGUCAUUAAUUUGGUGUCAUGGGGAAUCAGGACUGUUACUUUGAAAAAAUUAGAGUGUUUAAAGCAGGCGCACGCUUGAAUACAUUAGCAUGGAAUAAUGAAAUAGGACGUUUGAUUCUAUUUUGUUGGUUUCUAGGAUCGACGUAAUGAUUAAUAGGGAUAGUUGGGGGCAUUAGUAUUCAAUUGUCAGAGGUGAAAUUCUUGGAUUUAUUGAAGACUAACUACUGCGAAAGCAUUUGCCAAGGAUGUUUUCAUUAAUCAAGAACGAAAGUUAGGGGAUCGAAGACGAUCAGAUACCGUCGUAGUCUUAACCAUAAACUAUGCCGACUAGGGAUCGGAUGAUGUUAAUUUUAUAAUGACUCAUUCGGCGCCUUACGGGAAACAA
rnacentral:rRNA from 1 species